UUCUCUCGCUGCCGUCGUCGGUUUGGUUUCAGUUGGAUUAACCGAUUUUGAUCGCACCAAUGUCGUAAUUUUGAUCCCGUUGUAUGUUUUCAAUGAUAAUGGCUUUUAUAUCCGAUCUUAUGCUCUUCCAUUUUCAUCUCUUGGUCAGAAAAAGCCCUAAAACUCGUCGCCAUCCUCUUCUUAUCCGGUUGCUCCACUGACUCCUCCGUCGUUCCUACUCCUACUCGCCGCCCAGAAAAAGUGCCGACGUCCUCCGAUAUUGGGAAAAUCAUGAAUACUCCAUGUGCAGAGACGAGGUUGAGGUUGCGAAUGAGGAUGAAAAUGUAGAUUAUGCUACUACGAGAGAUCAAGACAAUAGGAAGCAAGAAGGUAAUGUUGAUAUUAAUGAUCCUUAUGAUGUUGAAUGUGAAUAUUGUGGUGCUUUAUAUGCCAAUCAUUCAAAGAGAAAUUGAAUGGAAAAUAUGGAAGCAUAUCCCGAGAACUAUCCUACUGAUCGUCUUUGUUGCGGUGGGGCAGAAGAUGGAUAUAAAGAGAAUCUGAUAUUAGAAAGUGAAGAGGAGGACGAGGAGGGUGUAGGUGAGAACUGAUCAAAGUCAUUUGAUUCAACACUCACUGGUAGAGUUUUUUAUGCAGAAGUUGCAAGCUAAGAAUACCAAAGGAAAAAAUGACCAUUAUUGAUAAACUGCCUCUCAACUUUGUGAAAUAUAUAUACUGAAAAUAUAUCAAAGUGAAGAAACGAUCUCUAAAGAAGAUUUUUGUAGAACAAGAUCCUAGAGUUUCUCUCGCAAUUCAUACUUAGACGUUGGAUCAAGAUAUGAUAGUUCUUACGGGACAUUUCAUUGAUGUCAAUUGGAAAAUGCAGAAGUAGCUAAGGGUUCUCAAUUUUUGUUCAAUCAAGAAUUUUGAUGGAGAGACUAAUGGAAAAGGAGUAGGAUGUUUGAACAAAUGGUGUAUGGAAAAGGAGUUGGUUUUGGACAGUAAAUUUGUGCACGUUAAAUGUUGUGCCCAUAUUUUGAAUUUGAUUGUAUGUGAUAUUAUGAAAGAUUUUCCUGAAUUGAUUUCUAAGAUUUGAAACAUUGUUUGGUACGUGAGAUCGAUCUACUCUUGAACGAUUUAGUUGCUUUGAGAAAUGUAUUGAAGAGAAAAACUUGUCUAUAGCAAUAAUGUUUUCAAAUCUAGUAGAGGCUCAUGCAUACUUGCACAAUUGGGCUAAGCAAGGAUACUGCACGAUCGAGUUGAUAUUCGAUAACAUAUAGAGGAUGCUAUUCGCAUGGAGGAACUAGGAAGAUUUUCAAACAAACUUAAAAGCAACAUCAACCAAGGAGGUGGGGGACAAUGCGUGGUGAAAAUAAGGGUCAUUAGGAUGCUUUAAAUUUGAACUCUUUAGGGUUGCUUUUUCCUGUUGAAUUUCUUGGUAUUGUAUUGUCAAAAUGAUCUAGAAAAGAAAAAACUCAUUAUAUUGGUUACUGAAUUCAGCCCUUUUAGGAUAUGUAUCUUGUGAAUG